AACGAACGCUGGCGGCAUGCCUAACACAUGCAAGUCGAACGAGACCUUCGGGUCUAGUGGCGCACGGGUGCGUAACGCGUGGGAACCUGCCCUUAGGUUCGGAAUAACUCCCCGAAAGGGGUGCUAAUACCGGAUAAUGUCUUCGGACCAAAGAUUUAUCGCCUUUGGAUGGGCCCGCGUUGGAUUGGCUAGUUGGUAGGGUAAAAGCCUACCAAGGGGACGAUCCAUAGCUGGUCUGAGAGGAUGAUCAGCCACACUGGGACUGAGACACGGCCCAGACUCCUACGGGAGGCAGCAGUGGGGAAUAUUGGACAAUGGGCGAAAGCCUGAGCCAGCCAGGCCGCGUGAGUGAUGAAGGCCUUAGGGUUGUAAAGCUCUUUUACCCGGGAUGAUAAUGACAGUACCGGGAGAAUAAGCUCCGGCUAACUCCGU
rnacentral:rRNA from 1 species